GAUUCAUGCAAGGCCCUCGGGUGAGGGACUGUCGAUCCCGACAGCCAUGCCAGCGCAGGGCCAAGAAAGAAUGUCCUGGAAGGGUGGGGAUGGGUUGGGCUUUCUGAACCCUCCCACCUCAGGAAGGCAAAAGACACAGAUCACAGGCAGCAAGGGGCUGCCAUUUCUGAUGCUUAUACCCUCCACGGUGGCUACAGGAGCCCGCACCAGCAGUGGGAGGAGCAACAUUCCAGAAGCUGCUUCUCUCUGCACCGAUGCAGAAACUGUGCCUGCCAGAUAGUAAUGAUCCAGCCGAGGGCACCAGGCUACAAUUUGCAGAACUGGACUGAAGAAUGGCUGACAUAGCCAGCUGCAGUGGCUCAUGCUUGUAAUCCCAACAGUUUAGGAGGCCAAAGCAGGAGGAUCACUUGAAGUCAUGAGUUCAAGACCAGCCUGAGCAACAUGGCAAGACCCCAUCUCUAUAAAAAAUACAAUAAUUAGCAGGGCAUGGUCGCACAUGUCUGUAGUCCCAGCUGCUUGGUAGGCUGAGGCGGAUGGAUCAUUUCAGCCCAGGAGGCAAGACUGCAGUGAGCCAUGAGUAUGCCACUGCACUCCAGCCUGGGUGACAAAAGAAAAAAAAAAUAGAAUGGAUGAUAUAAACUUUAUUGUUUACUGUGGGGUUGCGGUGGGGGGAGGCGUUAGUUCGUUCUUCUUUCUCUCAAUACCUUUACAAAGUCUCUGUUUCAAAAGAGAGCGCAGAUUAUGCCUGCUACCCCAAGUCCUGAGUCAGAAUUCAAAGGCAAAUAUGGUAGGGUGAUGAGGCAGAAAGGACUUAGGCAGCAGGAGAGCUGUGAUUGGUGGAAGGGGCAGGCAGGAAGAGUUUGGGUUUGGAGACACUGGUUGCUGAGUCAGAACUCCAGCUCUGUCAUUGCCUGUGUGACUUUGGGCAAGUUACAUGUGAUUGUUGGAGCUUCCAUUUCAUUUGCUAAAUAAUUGGGAUCAUAAUACAUACAACGUGGAGUUGUUAGGAUGUCACGAGAGAAUGCACAAGAAGUAAGUACUCCCGAAUUGAGCUAUUAUCUACCUCAAAGGAUUACUGGAGAAAUAGAAAAGGGAUAUAAAGAAACACAGCAAAGAUGCUUCAUAAAAGCUAUUCAUGGACCAACCCUACUCCCAAAUGACAUGGAUGUGGAGCUUUUAGCACCAUCGAAAUAACUCAAUGAAAAAAGUACAUAACUUUGUUGUGAGCUCUUCCAAAAACCUGCACCAUUGAGCCUCAGCUAAAGGCCCAUACUUCAGAACUCAUUUGGGUGAUUAUAGGAAUGAUGAAGUCAUGACAAUUUCAUCAUCGGGAAGGCCUGCCAUGUCUUGGCAAUGAAGAAGGUGGCAGCCAGACUGAAGGGAAGAGGGGCUGCAAGACUUGGAGUUGGUGAUGGCAACCCUGGAGAGGAAAGGAACAUGGCCAAGAGGUUGGGAUUCAUGCUAGAUCAAGAAGGAAGAACCCAGAAGCAGCCCAGAGGCUUCACAGCUACAUAAGAAAAAAAAGGGGGCCAGGCACGAUGCCUCAUGCCUGUAAUCCAGCACUUUGGGAGCCUGAGGCGGGUGGAUCACGAGGUCAGGAGUUCGAGAGCAGCCUGACCAACACAGUGAAACCCUGUCUCCACUGAGAAUACAAAAAUUAGCCAGGCAUGGUGGCACACGCCUGUAAUCCCAGCUACUCAGGAGGCUGAGGCAGGAGAAUCCAGGAGGCGGAACUGCGGUGGGCAGAGAUCACGCCACUGUACUCUAUUCUGGGUGACAGAGUAAGACUCCAUCUCAAAAAAAAAAAAAGGAUGUGACUAUUGCCAAAACCAACUUGUAAAACAUCACCAUGAUAUGUCACCAAGCUACCUACGAGAUGCUGGGCAUACCUUCGGUGGAAGAAAGAAACAGCUAUACAACUUUGGGUUGCUUCAUUUUUCUCUUGCAUUUCUAGUUCAGGUUGGUUUUGGUGUUCUGUUGUUGUUGUUGUUUUGCAUUCCAAAAAAAAUAAAAAAUAA
rnacentral:lncRNA from 1 species